CCCUUAGAUGUCCGGGGCCGCACGCGCGCUACACUGAAGGAAUCAGCGUGGCUUUCUCCCUGACCCGAAAGGGUUGGGAAACCCGUUGAAUCUCCUUCGUGAUAGGGAUUGGGGCUUGAAAUUGUUCCCCAUGAACGAGGAAUUCCCAGUAAGCGCGAGUCAUAAGCUCGCGUUGAUUAUGUCCCUGCCCUUUGUACACACCGCCCGUCGCUACUACCGAUUGAACGGUUUAGUGAGGGCCUCGGAUUGGUCUCGGCCCGCUCUUUACCGGGCGGCGCCGUUGGUCGAGAAGACGCUCGAACUUGAUCGUUUAGAGGAAGUAAAAGUCGUAACA
rnacentral:rRNA from 1 species